GAGGAGAUGGCUCUCUUCCUUUCUCAUUUCCCCUCAACCGUAGCCCUCUCUCUCUCUAAAACUCUCUCUUUCUCUCUCUAAGAAGUGGAGCAAGGAAGGAGAAGGUGGAGGAGAAGGCUUGAAGAAGGAGUUCUACUUCUUCUUCUUCCUCUUUUGGCCAUUGGAGAGCAAGCUUUGAAGGUCUCCGAACGCGUUUGUACACUUGGUUUGAGCAUUCGUCGAGUCUACGUGAAGAUAUUGAAGAAACGAACCUUCCGGCAUUCGUUUCCGCUUGGAGGGCCGAGGCGGCGUCCAUAAAUUGUGGGAUCGGAUUCCGAGUGUCGAAACCGAAGACCUAUAAUUUCUGGAUCGCAGAUCGGAGAUCGUUCGGUGGUCGCGCGUGAAUUGGGUCGAGCCGAGCGGCGUGCGCCGCGGGAGGCCGAUUGCGAGUGACGACGAGCAAUCGGAACGCGAUAAAAGGUACACACGAGAGCGGACCAGCAGAUGAUCGCGGUAAG